rfam:Pteropus alecto contig67068, whole genome shotgun sequence.
GAAUGUGAGGGCGCUCUGGUUGCGACAUCUGUCACCUCAUUGAUUGCCAGGGUGAUUCGGGUGAUCUGGCUGUCUAGGCAGGUGUCCCCUUCCUUCCUCACCGCUUCCUUUGCAUCUGUCCUGAAGCUGCACGAUCGGUGGAAGAGGACGACCUUCCCCUAUAGAGGAAAAGAUCGUUCUACGGUCAAGGAUAUACGAGUAGCUGUGCUCCCCUGCUAGAACCUCCAAACAAGCUUUCAAGGUCCAUUAGUAGAAGAACGUAGGGUAGUCAAGCUUCCAAGACUCCAGACACAUCCAAAUGAGGUGCUGCAUGUGGCAGACUGACUUUAAAAU